rnacentral:lncRNA from 1 species
CCUACUCCACUUUUGGCUUCCUCCACCGACGAGGUCCCCGACGUCAACUAGAGGCCUUCCUUCAAUAGGCGAAGGCCAACUGCCCUUUUACAGUUUCACUCCUUUUGACGGGCUCAGGAGACAACCCUUACAGAACCUUUCUCUCCUCUCUUUACAACUCAAGACUUGAAGAACAGAAAGAGGAGAACUUUUGGACUUUACACAAAUUUGAGCUCUUAGA